rnacentral:rRNA from 1 species
CAGUUGCCACGGUAAUACGUAGGGUGCAAGCGUUAAUCGGAAUUACUGGGCGUAAAGCGUGCGCAGGCGGUUAUAUAAGACAGAUGUGAAAUCCCCGGGCUCAACCUGGGAACUGCAUUUGUGACUGUAUAGCUAGAGUACGGCAGAGGGGGAUGGAAUUCCGCGUGUAGCAGUGAAAUGCGUAGAUAUGCGGAGGAACACCGAUGGCGAAGGCAAUCCCCUGGGCCUGUACUGACGCUCAUGCACGAAAGCGUGGGGAGCAAACAGGAUUAGAGACCCCUGUAGUCCCUGUCUCUUAUAC